rnacentral:rRNA from 1 species
UAAACUUCUUUGGACCUAGAUGAAGACUUCAAGGUGAAUAAUCUUGAAGUUUGACAGUAUAGGUAGAAUAAGCCACGGCUAACUCUGUGC